rnacentral:lncRNA from 1 species
AGUGAUGCGAAGGGCGGGCAGCAGGGCAGCAGUGCAGCAGUGCAGCAGUGCGGUUAUGAGAAUGAUGGAACAGGAAGCAGGAGAGAACAGCUACCACCAUUCUUUCCUUAUAGAUGAUGAGAAGGAGGAGAAGAGGAAGAGAAUGUGGAGGAAGUGAAUAUGGCUGCAUCAAGGGAUUCUUCUUUUAAACCUACAUAAUUUUUAAAAAUCGACCUGUGCAUCCCAGCUCCCAUUGGUGCAAACAAGUGAUUUUGAUUUUGUACUUCAGUGCAUGCCCUUAACCUUGGUGAAAUGUCUUUGCCACUUCUUUCUGAGAUGUACAAUCCUGAGUGAUUGCUCCCUCUCUGAAUUUUUUUGAAUCCCUGCUUAAUCUUCUCUACCUUUGGCAUUCUUUUGCAUACUUUGAGGUUCAAGGUUUUAACUGUUAAGUAUUAUGUUUGUAUUUGCGUUUCUCCUUCUCCUUGCUAUUUUUGGAUAAUUUUCUAAGAGGCAAUAGAGAAAUUCUGCUUUUAUACCACCGUAUUUAAUUGAAAAGAUGGAAUCUGCAUUUUGAAGGUUUCAGUGUGAUAGAUGACCUCAAGUUCUUUGAUGUUCUUUCCAUUGAGAGGUGGGGUCUACCUCCACUUCCCCUUGAAUCUGGACUUGCUUCAGCCACUCACUUAUAUAACUAAUAGAAGGUGGCAGAAAUGACGGAGCAUGACUUUUGAGUUAAGUCAGAGAGGCCGUGCAGCUACUGCAUUGUUUGCCGGUACACUUGCCCUUGGAGCCCUGGGCCAUCAUGUAAGAAGGCUGCCAUGCUGUGAGAACACCUAAGCCACAUGGAGAGGCCACAUGAAAAAGCUUGGUUGAUAAUCCCAGUUAAGCCCAACAUUCGAAUCAUCCUAGCCCAGGUACCAGACAUGUCAGUGAAGAAGACUUCAUCCGCAGACAUUUGAGACAUCCCCAACUGCUUAAACCUUUCCAGUGGCAUCGCCCAGACAUUGUGAAGCAGAGACUUGCUAUCCUCACUGCGCUUUGUCGGAAUUCUUGACCCAUAGAAUCCUUAGGGCCAGAAAAGCAAAUUAAACUGGAAUGUUAUGGAGACCACUAUCCCUGCCUCCUUUCCUUUUUUAAAGGUGGCACUAAUUUCUGUAAUUCUUUCCAAGAUGUGGCUUUCCUUCUGAUAUACCAUCAUGGCUGGAAGAGAAGAUAUGGGUGAUGAGUGCUCAGCGAAUGGGGGCUGUUACCAUCUACACUGCUACUACAGGUCCUUCGGUUGACAUGAACAUGCCAGAAUGAGGGAUGGGAGGACCAAGAGCUCAUUUGGCCUGGGUGUGUCUGUCCUUAAUUACACUGUUCUCAAACAUAUGUUCCAGCCAGAGGCUUGUUAAGAAGAAGCCUUUGUUUAAAUUUCAGGGCCCACAGAGCAUUUUAUAGUCUAGACUCUAGAAAGUUUUAUAGGCUAAAAGUCUGUAUGAUCUGAGUGAGAUGAGCCCUUGUGUUUUAUCAAAGGACAUUCUGGGAACAUAAACCUGUUUGUCUUCAUGACAAGCCAUGCAACUCCUGGGCAGAGUUCAGUUCUCUGUGAAGAGAAGUGAAUAUGCCACUGGUACACAUGCGUUUCAAACUUCCUGAUCCUCACGCAAGACUGAUUUCACAGGCUCCUUGACAUCUGCAUUUAACUCCUAAAUGUCCUCUGCUGUGCACCUCUUUCGCUUUUCUCAAUCUCACUGCCCUCACUGCUAUUUGCUAUGACAUUUUCUUUUUGCUUUUCGAAUCUCAUACUAAUUACUGCUUCCUGACCCUUUUUGGCACCAGUGUAGCAGAGGGUACUACCCUCAGCUUCAGAUAAGUCAGUGGAGUUCAGAUUUGUCCAUCCUCUGCUGAUAGAUGUAGGAAUGGCUUCCAGAAAUCUCUCUGCAGAGGGAGUGAGGGGAGCCUCCUGGGAGAGCUUCAGCUUAGACCCAUAAGUCAUUACAAGAAACUCAGCUCAGGAACAAAGCCUUAGUCCCUACAGGAGAAAGGCAAUCCUAAGGAGAGCGGCGCCUGAACCCUUUCCUACCAUCAAGAACUCAAGAACUCAGGUCUGUAAUUUACAAAGGCAUGGGGUGACCAGUGUCGCAGACACUGGCUAGAUGCUCCCCAAACUUGUCUCCUUUUCUUCCUGGGCUCAUACCUUCCUGGCACACAUACUCUCUGUCUGAAUUCUAGCCUAAUAAAUGUGGGCAGAAUUCACAUACACCAGCUCCAGGCCUGGCCCAUAACACUUCCUGCAUGAUCUGGGAUGCAAACGAUCCAGUGGAGGCCUCCGAGGCCCUAAGGAUGAAGCAGCUGGAGACAGAAGGGCCUGGGUCCCUGAAUGGCUGGGAGGAAUAGAGCCCCAGUGCAGUCUACUUGCACCCCCACCUUGACUCUGACAUAGGCAGAAAUAAAUUUUUACACUCU